rnacentral:rRNA from 1 species
UUGAUCCUGGCUCAGGAUGAACGCUGGCGGUAUGCUUAACACAUGCAAGUCGAACGGGAUGCUUAGGCAUCUAGUGGCGGACGGGUGAGUAACGCGUGAGAAUCUGGCUCCAGGUCGGGGAUAACAGUUGGAAACGACUGCUAAUACCGGAUGUGCCGAGAGGUGAAAGAUUUAUUGCCUGGAGAUGAGCUCGCGUCUGAUUAGCUAGUUGGUGGUGUAAGGGACCACCAAGGCAUCGAUCAGUAGCUGGUCUGAGAGGAUGAUCAGCCACACUGGGACUGAGACACGGCCCAGACUCCUACGGGAGGCAGCAGUGGGGAAUUUUCCGCAAUGGGCGAAAGCCUGACGGAGCAAUACCGCGUGAGGGAGGAAGGCUCUUGGGUCGUAAACCUCUUUUCUCAAGGAAGAAGAAAGUGACGGUACUUGAGGAAUAAGCAUCGGCUAACUCCGUGCCAGCAGCCGCGGUAAUACGGAGGAUGCAAGCGUUAUCCGGAAUGAUUGGGCGUAAAGGGUCUGCAGGUGGAACUGAAAGUCUGCUGUUAAAGAGUUUGGCUUAACCAAAUAAAAGCGGUGGAAACUACAGAACUAGAGUGUGGUAGGGGCAAAAGGAAUUCCUGGUGUAGCGGUGAAAUGCGUAGAUAUCAGGAAGAACACCGGUGGCGAAAGCGUUUUGCUAGACCAUAACUGACACUGAGGGACGAAAGCUAGGGGAGCGAAUGGGAUUAGAUACCCCAGUAGUCCUAGCCGUAAACGAUGGAUACUAGGCGUGGCUUGUAUCGACCCGAGCCGUGCCGGAGCUAACGCGUUAAGUAUCCCGCCUGGGGAGUACGCACGCAAGUGUGAAACUCAAAGGAAUUGACGGGGGCCCGCACAAGCGGUGGAGUAUGUGGUUUAAUUCGAUGCAACGCGAAGAACCUUACCAAGACUUGACAUCCUGCGAAUCCUGGUGAAAGCUGGGAGUGCCUUAGGGAGCGCAGAGACAGGUGGUGCAUGGCUGUCGUCAGCUCGUGUCGUGAGAUGUUGGGUUAAGUCCCGCAACGAGCGCAACCCUCGUUUUUAGUUGCCAGCAUUAAGUUGGGCACUCUAGAGAGACUGCCGGUGACAAACCGGAGGAAGGUGAGGAUGACGUCAAGUCAGCAUGCCCCUUACGUCUUGGGCUACACACGUACUACAAUGCUACGGACAGAGGGCAGCAAGCCAGGGAUGGCAAGCGAAUCCAGAAACCGUAGCUCAGUUCAGAUCGAAGGCUGCAACUCGCCUUCGUGAAGGAGGAAUCGCUAGUAAUUGCAGGUCAGCAUACUGCAGUGAAUUCGUUCCCGGGCCUUGUACACACCGCCCGUCACACCAUGGAAGUUGGUCACGCCCGAAGUCAUUACCCCAACCGAAAGGAGGGGGAUGCCUAAGGUAGGACUA